UUGGUGUUUAUCCUUUGAAACUUGACAUUUAUCUUCCGAACUUGACUGUUAUCUUCUCCUUAGAUAAGACAUCGAUUUUUGUAAAAAGGUUCAACGUAAUCGUAUAGUUAAGGCGGCUAAGGUGUUAAGUUAACCAUUGCCGUUUUAUACGAUUAAUCUGAAUCCAUGCGAGAAAAUAGGUGUAACGACCCGAAUUUCGGUCUCGGAACUCGUUAGCCGGCUAAGACCCAAGCAAUACAUCAAAACUAAAAUGUUUGUUUAUAAAUACCCCAUCUUCACAUUGUUUUCUCCACCUGCAUCAAAAAGAAAUCAGAAAAGUUAGAGAGAAGAAGAAGUGAAAAAGAGAGAGAGUGAGAGAAAGAAAGAUAGGAACCACUGCAUGCUGCCACCAGGAGUCCUCGCCGGAGCCACCGCACGCCAGGACAUCGUCAAGCUCGUCAUCACCAUCAACCGCAGCUGAGUAUCGUCGGAAACCGCCGCCUCUUAAGCUUUGUUUUCGUCCGUUCAGUAUAUCGUCCAUAUCUUCUUAACCGUUGAGAAUCUCGCGCAUGCAGAGCCACCAUCGUGUUCCUCUCGUCGAGACGAAGCCGUAGCCACCGACCACGCCGCAAUCGGAGUCCGGACGAAGCCGCUAGAGCCUCUGGAAGUUUCGCCUCUGUGCGCGCGUGAGUUACACGCGCCGCCGCCGGAAAUCGUCUCCGCCGCUUUCGCCGCCGUCUCCGCCGCCAGACCACCGCCUCACCACCACCGGAACGCCGUUGCUGCCGCCGUGCUCCGCCUUCUGUCGCCGCCGUCGUCCGCCGUCACCGCCGAUUUGGAGUCUAUUUGAGCAUCUGGAGUACAUAGAUACCACUUUUCCCUAUUGCUAAGGUGAGGGCUAUUCCGUUAAAUCCCGAGCUAGUUUAGUACUACCAUUAUGGAAAGUUUAGUUUCGAAACAUGAUCCGUCUCUGUGAAUCGAGUCUGUUUGAGAGUCUUGCUUGUUCAUUAUUGAUAUUGAUUGUUAACCGGAAUUAGGAUAAUAGAGGAUUCAACGAUUGUGUGAAAUGAUUGAUGCUAAGAACUGCUAUAUAUAUGUAUAUACAUAGUUAUGAGUAGGGAUUAUGUGAUGAGGGCGUGAGUUCAGAGAUGUCUGAGCUUCGACGCUACGGUAUGGUAUGGGCGUGAGUUCAGAGACGUUUGAGCUUCGACGCUACUGUUUGGGGCGUGGUGCAGAGACGUUUGCAUUCGACGCUACGAUGGGCGGGGGUACAGAGACAGACUGUACUAGCGACGCUUCAAGUAUAUGUAUAUAUCCUUAUGAGGAGAUGCGUGGUGCAGAGAGUAGCUAUGUACUAUAAGCGCAUGAGUUGUAACGGCUAGUCCUCUAGCCGCAUAUUGAUUGUUCUGUGUGGUGUAAUAGGCACCGUGUUUGUUUCAUGCUAGAGCUAUGCCUACAUUUUAGUAGUGCUAUGAACUCAGUCUGUGGUUUGCGGUUUAGCAUCCCAUACCUCGCUGGGCAACUCCCCUGUUGCUCACCCCUCCUUCUUUUCCCCUUUCAGGUGAGACCGACGAGCAGGAGUGAUUAUCGGACCGGUGCUAUUGGGCUUUUGGGCUUCUAUCGCUUUUAUCGUUAUCGGGCUUUUAGGCCUUUGGGCUUUUAUCGUUUAUGAUAUUUCCUAUUUCAGACUUAUACCGUUAUCUAUAUUUCGGAUGUUAUUUUAUAUUAUGGAUUUCCAGCGUUGACGUUGACUUUUAUAUUUAUAAAUGGAGAUUUCAGAAACUAUUAUUUAUCGCAUCAUUUUUAUUAUUAUUUCGAAAGUGACGGGUGUCACAUUUUGGUAUCAGA